CCUACGGGAGGCAGCAGUGGGGAAUAUUACACAAUGGGCGCAAGCCUGAUGCAGCCAUGCCGCGUGUGUGAAGAAGGCCUUCGGGUUGUAAAGCACUUUCAGUCAGGAGGAAAGGUUAGUAGUUAAUACCUGCUAGCUGUGACGUUACUGACAGAAGAAGCACCGGCUAACUCCGUGCCAGCAGCCGCGGUAAU
rnacentral:rRNA from 1 species